UACAGAGGGUGCGAACGUUGCUCGGAAUUACUGGGCGUAAAGGGCGCGUAGGCGGACAGUUUAGUCAGAGGUGAAAGCCCAGGGCUCAACCUUGGAAUAGCCUUUGAUACUGGCUGUCUUGAGUUCGGGAGAGGUGAGUGGAAUGCCGAGUGUAGAGGUGAAAUUCGUAGAUAUUCGGCGGAACACCAGUGGCGAAGGCGACUCACUGGCCCGAUACUGACGCUGAGGCGCGAAAGCGUGGGGAGCAAACAGG
rnacentral:rRNA from 1 species